rnacentral:tRNA from 1 species
CCCUGGUUUGCUCAGUCAGUUGAGCAUCUGACUUUGGCUCAGGUCAUGAUCUUGAGGUUCGUGAGUUCAAGUCCCACAUCGGGCU